AACUCGGGGAACUGAAACAUCUAAGUACCCGAAGGAAAAGAAAUCAAUUGAGAUUCCGGCAGUAGCGGCGAGCGACCCCGGAGCAGCCCUUAAGCGGCUUAGGCGUUAGGUGAACAGGUUGGAAAACCUGGCAAUAAAGGGUGAUAGCCCCGUAACCGACGGCGCCUUAGGCGUGAAAACGAGUAAGACGGGACACGURAUAUCUUGUCUGAAYAKGGGGGGACCAUCCUCCAAGGCUAAAUACUCCUGACUGACCGAUAGUGAACCAGUACCGUGAGGGAAAGGCGAAAAGAACCCCUGUGAGGGGAGUGAAAUAGAACCUGAAACCGUCUACGUACAAGCAGUGGGAGCCCCAUCACUAAGACACUUYAUCUUAGUGAGACGCUAUCACUUUGUUGAUUGGGUUAACCACGCGCAGCGUGGGUCAACCACCCAAUCAAGCAGAGGUGACUUAGUGAUGGGGUGACCGCGUACCUUUUGUAUAAUGGGUCAGCGACUUAAUGUAAGUAGCYAGGUUAACCGCAUAGGGGAGCCGUAGGGAAACCGAGUCUUAACUGGGCGACAGUUGCUUGCAUUAGACCCGAAACCGAGUGAUCUAGCCAUGGGCAGGUUGAAGGUUGAGUAACAUCAACUGGAGGACCGAACUCACUAACGUUGAAAAGUUAGGAGAUGACCUGUGGCUAGGGGUGAAAGGCCAAUCAAACUCGGAG
rnacentral:rRNA from 1 species